rnacentral:rRNA from 1 species
GACAGAGGGUGCAAACGUUGUUCGGAAUUACUGGGCGUAAAGCGCGUGUAGGUGGAUUGGUGUGUCAGAUGUGAAAGCCCUGGGCUCAACCCAGGAACUGCACCUGAAACUACCAGUCUUGAGUGGUGGAGAGGGAAGUGGAAUUCCUGGUGUAGAGGUGAAAUUCGUAGAUAUCAGGAGGAACACCAGUGGCGAAGGCGGCUUCCUGGACACUAACUGACGCUGAGACGCGAAAGCGUGGGGAGCAAACAGG